rnacentral:rRNA from 1 species
UAUGUAGGGACCGAGCGUUGUCCGGAUUCAUUGGGCGUAAAGAGCUCGUAGGCGGCCACUCAAGUCGAAUGUGAAACCUCGAGGCUUAACCUCGAGCCUGCAUUUGAUACUGGGUGGCUAGAGUCUGGUAGGGGGAUCUGGAAUUCCUGGUGUAGCGGUGGAAUGCGCAGAUAUCAGGAGGAACACCGGUGGCGAAGGCGGGAUCCUGGGCCAGUACUGACGCUGAGGAGCGAAAGCGUGGGGAGCAAACAGG